rnacentral:lncRNA from 13 species
AUCUACACUGAUUGAAGUGGAUUUAACUAGUGACAUCAGUAAGGGAUCAUAGCUUUAGCCUGGAUUCACCUAGUCUUUCUAAGUCAUGGAAGGAGCAGCUGUUCUUAAUGUUUUGUCUACCCAGUGUAAAGCACUACAGAUAAUCAAGUGCUAUUUGCAUGUGAUGCAUUUGCUCUGUUGUUUACAGUAUGAUUUGUAUCGUAUAGAGCGUGGCUUUAAGGGAAAAGUAUGGUCACAUCUAAUAAAAACAAAUGUGAAAAAUUAACAGAGUAAUAACACAAAUGUGUUUUAACACACUACCUAUUCGUAUAAGUAUUUAUUCAUCAUCCACAUAUUCAUAUUAAGCUUCUACGUCUGUGUACAGGAAAGUAUAAUUUGAAAGACGUAAGAGAAAAUAUAUCAGCUAAUUGUUAAAUUAUUAUGACGUUCUUUCUUUUUCUUUCCAAUACAAUAAGUGUCGUAACUAUUGUUUCCAAACUGCGUUACCCACUCCAGUCAGCAGAUGGCGAUGGGCGUCUUUCAGGUGAUGCUUCUUGAUGACGUAUAAUGGACUGGACGGGACGCUUCUUCAGGAACAACAAGGCGCAAACUCUUUCAACCACCUCGGUAGCUUGCUAGACAACAUAAAACUAAAAUAUUGAUUCUUUAGACCAUGUUAUUGUACAUGAGCUAAUCUCAGUGUUUUAAACAAAUUUCGGUUGACGUAUCUACUGGUGAACUUUAACCUAAUGUGCUUGUUCAAUUUGCAAACUUGUUAAAGAUUGAUACUGAGGUUAGCACUAGGCUAGUCGCUAAUGCUAGCUAGCUAGCUAGCUAACAUCCCUGACCAUGAGCUCACUGAACUACUCCUCCCUUGCUAAUGAAGCGGAGGUCUGCUGUUUGGAGAAAGAAUCUUUCAGAAUGAAAAAGGAGGAAGAGGAGGCUGUUAUAGUGAAAGAAGAGAACGAACCCUUUAGAGAGGAAGAGGAUGCUAUCUUAAUAUACGUGAAGGAGGAAGACGUUUUGAGAGUGAAAAAGGAGGAGACAGAAGAUCCGAUUGACACCAGAGAGAGACAUGACUAUGGUGGAUCCUCUGGGGAGCCUCAACAACAUCCUGAUGCUGACAAGGCAGAGAAGAGUCUCUCCAGAUCAGAACACCAGAUGGACAACGCUAGCCCUUCCAGCCUCCCGGAGUCCAUGUGUCGUGCCUCUCCCAGUCGCACCUUACUGCUGGGUAUGAAGAGGUUGUCUGUGCUGCUGGUGGACUUCAGGAAAACAACGGGGCUGAGUGGAACUGUGAGGGGAGGAGAAGAGAUGAAAGGAUCAGAUUUGACUCAUCAAAGUAAGUGCUGUAGUUUAGUUUGAACAAAUACAACAGAUCUGCCCAUAGGUAUCUGUUACCAGGACAACCAGUGGAGUUCUGUUAGUUGACAGGAAGAUAGACUGGUGGAUAUGGAUGUUAUGAAUAUCAUAACACUGAAAAAGGAUUCUGCCAAUGAAAAGAGAGAAACCAAUAGACCAUAUAAAACCUUGAUGAAAGUUAGCUUUAGAGAGAGAAUUUCAAGAUGAUCCAAUGUAAGGUGCUUGUUUUACAAAAACUUAUCCUUAAAACAUUAUGGAUAUUACAUUGCCUGUCCCAGUCAACCCCCCUAUCUUUACAAGACUGUUGAACAGGCAAACUAAACUCUAGACACUGUUAAUUAAUUAACUAAUACUGAGGAAAGCUGUGAUCAGGUUUAUAGGGAAGGACAUUCAAUAAACACAGCACUUAAAAAUGACUGAUUGGCUGAGAGAAAUUGAUGACGUUAAAAAUAUUGUUUGGGCUGUUUUGUUAGACUUCAGUGCGGCUUUUGACAUUAUCGAUCGUAGUCUGCUGCUGAAAAAACGUAUGGCUUUACACCCCCUGCUAUACUACAAAAAAAGCAAACCUUUAUUUAACUAGGCAAGUCGGUUAAGAACAAAUUCUUAUUUUCAAUGACGACCUAGGACUGCCUUGUUCAGGGGCAGAACGACAGAGUUUUACCAUGUCAACUCGGGGAUUCAAUCCAGCAACCUUUUGGUUACUGGCCUACCGCUCUAACCACUAGGCUACCUGCCGCCCCAGAGCUACCUGUCUAACAGAACACAGUGUUCUUUAAUGGAAGCCUGUACAACACAAUCAAGGUAGAAUCAAGAAUUCCCCGGGGAAGCUGUUUAGCACCUGCUUUUUUCAAUCUUUACCAACAACAUGCCAACGACAUUUGAGUAAAGCCAGUGUGUGUCUGUAUGCGGAUGACUCAACACUGUACACGUCAGCUACCACGGAAACUGAAAUGACUGCAACACUUACAAAGAGCUGCAGUGAGUUUCAGAAUGGGUGUCAAGGAAUAAGUUAGUCCUAAAUAUUUCAGAUUACCUUAAAUUACAUGGCCUACUAUGCUAAUUCUGUAGCGGUAUUGUUAGAGGGGGGUAAAGAUAAAGUUUGUUGGGGCGCCAGGCAGGUAUUAACCCUAGUUAUUAAAGUUAGUUGAAUAGAUAGAGUAGAAUAGAUAGAGUAGUGCUUCCAGACACAUUCUAAACAUGAUGGAGUCUUAAAGGAGGACUGUAGCAUCUAAUGAUGAAUUACUAUGGAGUCUGAUGCUUUAAAGGAGAAGUUUACCCAAAAUCCAGAAACUCCUAGGUGAUUCCAUACAUUGAAACUAGUCCAGUGGAUUUUUUCCCUAUCCCCCUCUCUCUCCCUGUGGUGUUGUAAUGAAACAGCUGCUCUCCCUCUCUCUCCCUGUAGUGCUGUACUGAAACAGCUGCAAAACGUGACUCGUGACGUUGCUGGAUGCGGGCCUCGCUCUGCUGCUUUGCCAGUUAAUUUGUUAUUUUAUUACAGCUAUGGCCUUUGUCUUUCACCUGUAGUUGUUUAUUUAUGUUUGAGAAUAAACACCUUUCAACUCAUAAAACAUGUACAAAAUAAACUCAGCAAAAAAAUAUACGUAUCUUUUCAGGGCCCUGUCUUUCAAAGAUUAUUGGUAAAAAAUCCAACUAACGUCACAGAUCUUUAUUGUAAAGGGUCACCAGACAUCACUGGCAACAACGUCGCCUCUGGGCACCGUCACAAAAAGUCACGGUUUUGUCUCCAGGGGUGAUGGUCGGAUUCGUGUUUAUCGUCAAAGAAAUGAGCAUUACACGGAGGCCUGUACUCUGGAGCAGGGUCAUUUUUAUUUAUUUUACCUUUAUUUAACUAGGCAAGUCAGUUAAGAACAAAUUCUUAUUUUCAAUGACGGCCAGUGGGUUAACUGCCUGUUCAGGGGCAGAACGACAGAUUUGUGCCUUGUGAGCUCGGGGAUAUGAACUUGCAACCUUUCGGUUACUAGUCCAACUCUCUAACCACUAGGCUACCCUGCCGCCCCAGAUACUGACUGUUACUUUUGAUUUUGACACAUUAUUAUUUUGACACAUUAUUCCAUUUCAGUUAGUCACAUUUCUGUAGAACUUGUUCAGUUUAUGUCUGUUGUUGAAUCUUAUGUUCCAACAAAUAUUUACACAUCUUAAGUUUGCUGAAAGUAAACGCAGUUGACAGUGAGAGGACAUUUCUUUUUUUUGCUGAGUUUAGAUUGGCGAGGGGGGAAACAAUUUAAUCAAUUUUAGAAUAAUGCUGAAAUGUAACAAAAUAUGGAAAGGGUGAAGGGGUCUGAAUACUUAACGAAUGCACUGUGUCUGUGUGUAUACUGAACCAAAAUAUAAACAACAAUUUCAAUGAUUUACAGCUCAUAUAAGUCAGUCAUUGUAAAUAAAUAAAUUAGGCCCUAAUCUAUGGACUUUACAUGACUGAGGGGUGCAGCCAUUGGUGGGCCCUGGAGGGCAUAAGCCCACCCAUUGCGGAGCCAGGCCCAGCCAAUCAGAAUUCGUUUUUCCCCACAAAAGGGCUUCAUUACAAAUAGAAAUACUACUCGGGUGGCUGGUCUCAGAAGCUGUGGAGGUCCUGGGCUGGCGUCGUUAUAUGUGGUCUGUGGUUGUGAGGCCAGUUGGAUGUACUGCCAAAUUCUCUAAAAUGACGUUGCAAGGUGGCUUCUGGUAGAGAAUUGAACAUUCAAUUAUCUGGUAACCGCUCUUGUGGAUAUUCCUGCAGUCAGCAUGCCAAUUGCAUGCUCCCUCAAAACGUGAGACAUCUGUGGCAUUGUGUUGUGUGACAAAACUGCACAUUUUAGUGUGGCCUUUUAUUUUCCCCGGCACAAGGUGCACCUGUGUAAUUAUCAAGCUGUUCAAUCAGCUCCUUGAUAUGCCACACCUGUCAGAUGGAUGGAUUAUCUUGACAGAGAAUAAAUGUUAACUAACAGGGAUGUAAAAAAUUCUGCAAUCUUUUUUUCCCAGCUCAUUAAACAUCCAACACUUUACAUGUUGCGUUUAUAAUUUGUUUAUUGUAGUUACUAACAGUUUUAGGAACAUCUUUCCAAAUAUUUCACCUUGUUUUUUACUUUACCCAAAAUAUGACAUCAGCGAUAGUCAAAAUGUUGAAAAUCUGUGAACGUCUAAAUAAGAAAUUGGGCCAUUUAAACAGCAGGUGUUGAACCCUUUCAACAACGGAGAUAUUUUACAACUUAAAAUCAAGUUUUGGACUUCCACUUAAAAUGACUUAUUUACUUAUUUUAUGUUUAAGGAAGUGUGUACAGUCGUGGCCAAAAGUUUUGAGAAUGACACAAAUGUUAAUUUUCACCAAAUCUGCUGCCUCAGUUUGUAUGAUGGCAAUUUGCAUAUACUCCAGAAUGUUAUGAAGAGUGUUCAGAUGANNNNNNNNNNCGGUAUGUUGAUGUAAACUAUUUAUUGAUAAUGUAUUUUCCUAUUCAGAUUAUACAUCUGCAUAGACUCAAACAGUAUUUUAAAGUUGAUUUAAAAAAUAUAUAUAAAUUGUACACUUCUAUUUUCACAAUUUGAAUUAUUAUUAAUCAAAAACUCCUAUAGCAACAAUACACUGCAGCUUUGACAUCAAGAAGAGAACGGGCUGAUGGGUGGUGGUGCUACUCUAUAGGUAAGGCUGUCCAAUAUGAAUGUUCAAUACACACAAUAGGUUGAUCAGUANNNNNNNNNNUGGAAAAAAUUGUGUUUUACCAAAUACAAUGCUAUAUUUCUGUAAACAAAUGAACAACAUACUUUCAGCAUGCUUAUAGAGAAGGGCACUCAACAUGUACUGCACUGACACAAAUGACUGAUGAUUGGUUGAGAGAAAUUGAUAACAAGAAUAUUGUGGGAGCUCUAUUGUUAGAUUUCAGUGCAGCCUUUGAUAUUAUUGACCAUAACCUGUUGUUUAAGAAUGUGUGUGCUAUGGCUUUUCAACCUCUGCCAUAAUGUGGAUUCAGAGCUAUCUAUCUAAUAGAACNNNNNNNNNNUUAUUUCUAUGUUUUCUAUUUCUUUGUUUUUGGCCAAGUGUGGUUCCCAAUCGGAGGCAGCUGUCUAUCGUUGUCUCUAAUUGGGAAUCAUACUUAGGCAGCCUUUUUCCACCUGUGUUUUUUGGGUAGUUGUUUUCUGUAUAAUUAAUUUCUUCGAAUGUUGUUUGAUUAAAUAAAAAUCAUGAACACUUACCACUCUGCGCUUUGGUCCAUGCCUUCCGACGAGAGACGUGACAAUUAUGUGUCAUGUUUUGUGUUGACCGCAGGAGGGGUAGCUGCUGCUUUUGCAACAGCUAAUGGGGANNNNNNNNNNUGUCCUCUCCUGCUGACUUCAUAUAUAGUGGUCAGAGAUUCUGUCAGA